UCUGGCAUGAGAGGGAUCAUUUCCUCAUAGG
rnacentral:piRNA from 1 species